UUCUAGGGAUGCCUCUGGUGGCUUUGACACCAGGAACCUCUGACAUAUCCUGCACCUGGGAUGCCACCUGGGUGUCAGGGGGUAGGAGGGGAGGGUGGCUUUUCUUGGUAAUGGACCUUCUCUCUUCAGCCCUUUGGGAUGCCUUUUAACCCACUGGAAACAAUUCAGAUAACAAGAUUUAAGGGGAAAAAACAUGGCAUCUGCUCAUCUGAGCUGACAAGUUUUAGAGCCAGGAACCUUCUCUCUGCCUUCUGGCAGCACCUCACUGCCUCUGCCUUCCCCUCCCCCUCCUGUUUCUGUACCACCUUGGGUGCCACCUGCAUAACUGGUUUCUGAGCCCAUCCUCCUUGCUCCAACACCCUUGCUUCUACUCCUCCCCUUGCUGUCAAGGAGUCAAGAGCACCCCCUGGUCUUACCACCACCCACUUCAGAUGAGAUCGGGCGCGUUCAGGGUGGUAUGGCUGUAGACCCACAACCCACUUCAGAAUUCGCCACCGGUGCCCCAGGACACCGUUGGAAACAUUGGUUAUUUUAUUAAGGCUUUAACUGGAAUGUCCUAUUUGAGAGACAUGCAUAGACUCAGAUGUGACCAAACAGCUUUAAGACCUAGGGUUGACUUUAUGAAGCCUGAAGCCAAUACAGCCCCUUGGAAACGUUGGCCUGAUACCUUGCUUACAGAGUUCCCAGCAGCCUUACCAGACUCCUUCAUUGCCGUAACUUCAGCUAACAGAUGAUCCUUUCUACUCAAGCAGGUUCAUAUGUUGUCUACCUUGGAUUGGUGGCCUCUGCCUCUGCACUACUGCCGUGACCUUAGUUCAGCCUUCUAUCAAACCGUGCUACUGUCCCCAAAUAACCACAAAACCUCAAUUUGCUCUUCCAGAUGCCUGAAAUACUACAGGAC